rnacentral:rRNA from 1 species
CAAACUGGAGAUGGCGACCGGCGCACGGGUGAGUAACACGUAUCCAACCUGCCGAUAACUCGGGGAUAGCCUUUCGAAAGAAAGAUUAAUACCCGAUGGUAUAAUCAGACCGCAUGGUCUUGUUAUUAAAGAAUUUCGGUUAUCGAUGGGGAUGCGUUCCAUUAGGUUGUUGGCGGGGUAACGGCCCACCAAGCCUUCGAUGGAUAGGGGUUCUGAGAGGAAGGUCCCCCACAUUGGAACUGAGACACGGUCCAA